rnacentral:rRNA from 1 species
ACCUACGUAAAUACCUUAAAUGCACCAGAUCUCAUCUUAUCUUGGAGGCUAAGCAAGGUCAGCCUUAGUUAGUACUUGGAUGGGGGACUGCCAGUAAAUACCAGUUGCUAUAGGCU